rnacentral:rRNA from 1 species
AAUGAACGCUGGUGGCAGACCUAACACAUGCAAGUCGAACGAUUUAUAAAAACUUCGGUUUUUAUAAAGAGUGGCAAACGGGUGAGUAAUGCAUGGGAAUCUACCUAGAAGUUUGGGAUAACUAUUAGAAAUAGUAGCUAAUACCGAAUACACCCCGAGGGGGAAAGUUGACUUUUAGUCUUCGCUUUUAGAUGAGCCCAUGUAAAUGUAGUGUGGAUACAGCCUACCAAGACGAUGAUUUAUAGCUGGUCUUAGAGGAUGAUCAGCCACACUGGAAUUGAGAUACGGUUCAGACUCCUACGGGAGGCAGCAGUGGGGAAUAUUGGACAAUGGGCGCAAGCCUGAUCCAGUCAUGCCACGUGAGUGAUGAAGGUCUUAGGAUUGUAAACUUU